rnacentral:lncRNA from 12 species
GUAAGGUGCUGCAGCUCAUGGACAAGAUCGUCUUUGAAAUGAAAGGUGCUGCAGCAGAACUGGAAGUCCUGACUUGAAGGCUGGUAUGCAAGCAUGCUGGAUGGCUGACAAGCCUUGACAGGUCUGGAGGCAAGCCUCCUUGGUGGCACAGGG